rnacentral:rRNA from 1 species
AACGCCAAGAACCUUACCAAGGCUUGACAUGAACCGGAAAGGCGUAGAAAUACGUCCCCCACUUGUGGUCGGUUUACAGGUGGUGCAUGGUUGUCGUCAGCUCGUGUCGUGAGAUGUUGGGUUAAGUCCCGCAACGAGCGUAACCCUCGUUCUAUGUUGCCAGCACGUGAUGGUGGGGACUCAUAGGAGACUGCCGGGGUCAACUCGGAGGAAGGUGGGGAUGACGUCAAAUCAUCAUGCCCCUUAUGUCUUGGGCUUCACGCAUGCUACAGUGGCCGGUACAAAGGGUUGCGAUACUGUGAGGUGGAGCUAAUCCCAAAAAGCCGGUCUCAGUUCGGAUUGGGGUCUGCAACUCGACCCCAUGAAGUCGGAGUCGCUAGUAAUCGCAGAUCAGCAACGCUGCGGUGAAUACGUUCCCGGGCCUUGACACACCG